rnacentral:rRNA from 1 species
ACUCAAAUGAAUUGACGGGGGCCCGCACAAGCGGUGGAGCAUGUUGUUUAAUACGUCACUAACCGUAGAACCUUACCAGGGUUUGACAUGGCGUGCUAUGCGUAGAAAUACGCCUUCGGAGCAAUCCGACACGCACACAGGUGUUGCAUGGCUGUCGUCAGCUCGUGUCGUGAGAUGUUGGGUUAAGUCCCGCAACGAGCGCAACCCUCAUCCCAUGUUGCCAUCGGGUGAUGCCGGGAACUCUUGGGAAACUGCCGGGGUAACUCGGAGGAAGGUGAGGAUGACGUCAAGUCAGCAUGGCCCUUACAUCCUGGGCUACAAACAUGCUACAAUGGACGGUAGACAGACCGACCCGAAGCCGUGAGGUGGAGGCAAUCGGACAAAUCCGUUCUCAGUUCGGAUCGCAGGCUGCAACUCGCCUGCGUGAAGCCGGAAUCGCUAGUAACCGCAGGUCAGCUAAACUGCGGUGAAUACGUUCCCGGGCCUUGUACACACCGCCCGU